UCGUAUUAUGCAUGCUCCGCCCAGUGCGAUUGAGAUUUAGAUUUAGAACCGCGAACGCGCGCGUUACACUCUGCUCGUAGAAACGAGACGCGCGAACUCUCUAUUACCGGCUAUUGCUUCGGUAAUAGAAGAAGAACGAGUAUGAACUAGACAAGAGAGAGGGGGGGAGGGAGAGGGAGAGAAAGAGGACAACGUUAUACGAGUCGCAUGUACAUCUCUUCCGUUCGUACGAGGGAAAAUGUUUCGUUGACGAAAAACUUUUGUGUCCACGAUGAACGUAACAGAGAGUUCGUCGCGACUCUGUAAAAAGAAGAUGCCAAGCGUGUGUAGAAAUGGAAGGUGGACACGUGGAAAAUCUUCUGUAAAUACCGAAAAUUCAAUAUUAAGGCAAUUAUGAUAGUAACAAACAGAAAUGUUUAUAUCUCAGAAAUGGUUGACAUUUCGACCUAUGUUUACUAAAGCAUUUUUACUCAGUACAAUGUAUCUUAUAUACUAUAUAAAUAUUAAAUGAUCUUUUUAACA
rnacentral:lncRNA from 1 species